AUUGAACGCUAGCGGCAGGCCUAACACAUGCAAGUCGAGCGGAGCGGCGGACGCGUGAGUAAUACCUAGGAAUCUGCCUGGUCGUGGGAGAUAACGUUCGCAAACGGAAACUAAUACCGCAUACUAUCAGAUGAGCCUCGGUCGGUUUAGCUAGUGGGUGAGGUAAUGGCUCACCAAGGCUACGAUCCGUAACUGGUCUGAGAGGAUGAUCAGUCACACUGUAACUGAGACACGGUCCAGACUCCUACGGGAGGCAGCAGUGGGGAAUAUUGGACAAUGGGCGAAAGCCUGAUCCAGCCAUGCCGCGUGUGUGAAGAAGGUCUUCGGAUUGUAAAGCACUUUAGGUUGGGAGGCGUUACCGACAGAAUAAGCACCGGCUAACUCUGUGCCAGCAGCCGCGGUAAUUC
rnacentral:rRNA from 1 species